AAUAGAUACCCUGGUAGUCCACGCCGUAAACGAUGAGUGCUAAGUGUUAGAGGGUUUCCGCCCUUUAGUGCUGAAGUUAACGCAUUAAGCACUCCGCCUGGGGAGUACGGCCGCAAGGCUGAAACUCAAAGGAAUUGACGGGGGCCCGCACAAGCGGUGGAGCAUGUGGUUUAAUUCAAAGCAACGCGAAGAACCUUACCAGGUCUUGACAUCCUCUGAUAACCCUAGAGAUAGGGCUUCUCCUUCGGGAGCAGAGUGACAGGUGGUGCAUGGUUGUCGUCAGCUCGUGUCGUGAGAUGUUGGGUUAAGUCCCGCAACGAGCGCAACCCUUGAUCUUAGUUGCCAUCAUUAAGUUGGGCACUCUAAGGUGACUGCCGGUGACAAACCGGAGGAAGGUGGGGAUGACGUCAAAUCAUCAUGCCCCUUAUGACCUGGGCUACACACGUGCUACAAUGGACGGUACAAAGAGCUGCAAGACCGCGAGGUGGAGCUAAUCUCAUAAAACCGUUCUCAGUUCGGA
rnacentral:rRNA from 1 species